CGGGACGGGUGAGUAACGCGUGGGUAACCUGCCAUAUACAGGGGGAUAACAGCGAGAAAUUGCUGCUAAAACCGCAUAAGCGCACGGAGUCACAUGACUCAGUGUGAAAAACUCCGGUGGUAUAUGAUGGACCCGCGUCUGAUUAGCCAGUUGGCAGGGUAACGGCCUACCAAAGCGACGAUCAGUAGCCGGCCUGAGAGGGUGGACGGCCACAUUGGGACUGAGACACGGCCCAAACUUCUACGGGAGGCAGCAG
rnacentral:rRNA from 1 species